rnacentral:rRNA from 1 species
CUCAGGAUGAACGCUAGCUACAGGCUUAACACAUGCAAGUCGAGGGGCAUCAGGAAGAAGGCUUGCUUUCUUUGCUGGCGACCGGCGCACGGGUGAGUAACACGUAUCCAACCUGCCCUUUACUCGGGGAUAGCCUUUCGAAAGAAAGAUUAAUACCCGAUAGCAUAAUGAUUCCGCAUGGUUUCAUUAUUAAAGGAUUCCGGUAAAGGAUGGGGAUGCGUUCCAUUAGGUUGUUGGUGAGGUAACGGCUCACCAAGCCUUCGAUGGAUAGGGGUUCUGAGAGGAAGGUCCCCCACAUUGGAACUGAGACACGGUCCAAACUCCUACGGGAGGCAGCAGUGAGGAAUAUUGGUCAAUGGGCGCUAGCCUGAACCAGCCAAGUAGCGUGAAGGAUGAAGGCUCUAUGGGUCGUAAACUUCUUUUAUAUAAGAAUAAAGUGCAGUAUGUAUACUGUUUUGUAUGUAUUAUAUGAAUAAGGAUCGGCUAACUCCGUGCCAGCAGCCGCGGUAAUACGGAGGAUCCGAGCGUUAUCCGGAUUUAUUGGGUUUAAAGGGAGCGUAGGUGGACUGGUAAGUCAGUUGUGAAAGUUUGCGGCUCAACCGUAAAAUUGCAGUUGAUACUGUCAGUCUUGAGUACAGUAGAGGUGGGCGGAAUUCGUGGUGUAGCGGUGAAAUGCUUAGAUAUCACGAAGAACUCCGAUUGCGAAGGCAGCUCACUGGACUGCAACUGACACUGAUGCUCGAAAGUGUGGGUAUCAAACAGGAUUAGAUACCCUGGUAGUCCACACAGUAAACGAUAAAUACUCGCUGUUUGCGAUAUACAGUAAGCGGCCAAGCGAAAGCAUUAAGUAUUCCACCUGGGGAGUACGCCGGCAACGGUGAAACUCAAAGGAAUUGACGGGGGCCCGCACAAGCGGAGGAACAUGUGGUUUAAUUCGAUGAUACGCGAGGAACCUUACCCGGGCUUAAAUUGCAGUGGAAUGAUGUGGAAACAUGUCAGUGAGCAAUCACCGCUGUGAAGGUGCUGCAUGGUUGUCGUCAGCUCGUGCCGUGAGGUGUCGGCUUAAGUGCCAUAACGAGCGCAACCCUUAUCUUUAGUUACUAACAGGUUAUGCUGAGGACUCUGGAGAGACUGCCGUCGUAAGAUGUGAGGAAGGUGGGGAUGACGUCAAAUCAGCACGGCCCUUACGUCCGGGGCUACACACGUGUUACAAUGGGGGGUACAGAAGGCAGCUAGCGGGUGACCGUAUGCUAAUCCCAAAAGCCUCUCUCAGUUCGGAUCGAAGUCUGCAACCCGACUUCGUGAAGCUGGAUUCGCUAGUAAUCGCGCAUCAGCCACGGCGCGGUGAAUACGUUCCCAGGCCUUGUACACACCGCCCGUCAAGCCAUGGGAGCCGGGGGUACCUGAAGUACGUAACCGCAAGGAUCGUCCUAGGGUAAAACUG